rnacentral:rRNA from 1 species
GAUGAACGCUGACAGAAUGCUUAACACAUGCAAGUCAACUUGAACUUCGGUUUGGGUGGCGGACGGGUGAGUAACGCGUACAGAACUUGCCUCACAGAUAGGGACAACAUUUGGAAACGAAUGCUAAUACCUGAUAUUAUGAUUAUAUGGCAUCGUAUAAUUAUGAAAGCUAUAUGCGCUGUGAGAGAGCUUUGCGUCCCAUUAGCUAGUUGGAGAGGUAACGGCUCACCAAGGCGAUGAUGGGUAGCCGGCCUGAGAGGGUGAUCGGCCACAAGGGGACUGAGACACGGCCCUUACCCCUACGGGAGGCAGCAGUGGGGAAUAUUGGACAAUGGACCAAGAGUCUGAUCCAGCAAUUCUGUGUGCACGAUGAAGUUUUUCGGAAUGUAAAGUGCUUUCAGUUGGGAAGAAAAAAAUGACGGUACCAACAGAAGAAGUGACGGCUAAAUACGUG